rnacentral:lncRNA from 1 species
AGUGCGACUCACUUUUGCAUAUAAACGAAACACAAAAGCGCAAUCGAUGCAAUAACAUGUAAAAACAGACAUCUAUAAUCAAAUAGAAAUAUUAAGAUUUUUUAACCAGAGCUUUAGAAAUGAUGAAACCAUUUUGGAGUUUCAAUGCAGUACGCACAAGUACGCAUCGAGGCUCCAAGUUUUACGUAUUGUUUCCAUGAAUGGCUAAACAUUAAAGCCCAUGCACAGGCUCCCAUCUAGACAUAUUUGCCCGUUAAAAUGAUUAUAAGCAUACCAUAGCUUCUUCAUCACCCUUUGAAUUAAACACAAAUUUGUAACUCUUG